UACGGAGGAUGCGAGCGUUAUCCGGAUUUAUUGGGUUUAAAGGGUGCGUAGGCGGAUCGUUAAGUCAGUGGUCAAAUUGAGGGGCUCAACCCCUUCCCGCCAUUGAAACUGGCGAUCUUGAGUAGAAGAGAAGUAUGCGGAAUGCGUGGUGUAGCGGUGAAAUGCAUAGAUAUCACGCAGAACCCCGAUUGCGAAGGCAGCAUGCCGGCUUCCUACUGACGCUGAAGCACGAAAGCGUGGGGAUCGAACAGG
rnacentral:rRNA from 1 species